UACGGGGGGAGCAAGCGUUGUUCGGAUUUACUGGGCGUAAAGGGCGGGUAGGCGGCCACCGCAAGUCAGUUGUGAAAUCUCUGGGCUUAACCCAGAAAGGUCAACUGAUACUGCGGGGCUAGAGUGCAGAAGGGGCAACUGGAAUUCUCGGUGUAGCGGUGAAAUGCGUAGAUAUCGGGAGGAACACCGGUGGCGAAGGCGGUUCUCUGGGCCUGACCUGACGCUGAGGAGCGAAAGCGUGGGGAGCGAACAGG
rnacentral:rRNA from 1 species